UUUGAUCAUGGCUCAGAACGAACGCUGGCGGCGUGGUUUAGGCAUGCAAGUCGAACGAGGAUAUAUCCUUCGGGAUAUAAGCCGAGUGGCGAAAGGGGGAGUAAUGCACAGACAACCUGCCUUUAGGAUAAGAAUAACUCUGUGAAAGCGGGGCUAAUACUUAAUAAUACAAAGGAAAGGUUUUUUUUUUUUUUAAAGAAGGGUAUGUAAAUACCUUGCGCCUAAAGAGGGGUUUAUGUCCUAUCAGCUUUUUGGUAGGGUAACGGCCUACCAAGGCGAAGACGGGUAGCCGGCCUUAGAGGGGGGUCGGCCACACUGGAACUGAGACACUGUCCAGACUUUUACGGAAGGCUGCAGUCGAGAAUCUUUCGCAAUGCCCGAAAGGGGGACGAAGCGACGCCGCGUGGAUGAAGAAGGCCUUCGGGUUUUAAAAUCCUGUCAGGAGUUAAGAAAUGUAAGUUUGAGAAUACCAAAUUUACUUGACAAAAGCUCCAAAGGAAGCCACGGCUAACUCUGUGCCAGCAGCCGCGGUAAUACAGAGGGGGCGAGCGUUUUUCGGAAUUAUUGGGCGUAAAGAGCACGUAGGGGGAUUUUUAAGUCAGAUGUGAAAGCCUUUUUUUCAACGGAAGAAUUGCAUCUGAAACUACAAACCUUGAGUAUAGGAGGGGAGAGUGGAACUUUUGGGGGAGCGGGGAAAUGCGUAGAUAUCAGAAGGAACGCCGGCGGCGAAAGCGACUCUCUGGGCUAUUACUGACACUGAGUGUGCGAAAGCUAGGGGAGCAAACGGGAUUAGAUACCCCGGUAGUCCUAGCCGUAAACGAUGGGCACUAAGUAGGGGAAACUACCGAUGUUUUUUCUGCCGUAGCUAACGCAUUAAGUGCCCCGCCUGGGGAGUACGGCCGCAAGGCUAAAACUCAAAGGAAUUGA
rnacentral:rRNA from 1 species